rnacentral:rRNA from 1 species
UACGAAGGGGGCUAGCGUUGUUCGGAAUUACUGGGCGUAAAGCGCGUGUAGGCGGUUCUGUAAGUCUGCUGUGAAAGUCCAGGGCUCAACCCUGGGAUGCCGGUGGAUACUGCAGGGCUAGAGUACGGAAGAGGCGAGUGGAAUUCCCGGUGUAGCGGUGAAAUGCGUAGAGAUGUGGAGGAACACCGAUGGCGAAGGCAGGUCUCUGGGCCACUACUGACGCUGAGAAGCGAAAAGCAUGGGGAGCGAACAGG